rnacentral:lncRNA from 1 species
GAUAAUUCAUCAGACUACGUCCAUUUUUCGACUUCAGAAUUUCUUAAUUUUCCAAAUUCCAACUUCCUUUAUUUUCAAAUUCUGUCGUCCUUUCUUGUUCCCAAAUUACACAUUCCUUUCUUUUUUCCGACUUUUGCCUUCCCCUUCUUUUUCAAAAUUAUGCCUUCUUUUCUUUUUCCAACUUUUGCCUUUCUUUUUUCCAAAUUAUGCCUUCCUUUCCCUUUUCCAACUUCUGACUUUAUCUCAUCAGACUAAGAUUUUUAUCUUAGGUAAAAAAUUCAUCGGACUAAGAUCUUCUACCUUCAUCUUAUGUGAAAGAUUUAUCAGACUAAGAUUUCUAUCUUAGGUGAAAAAUUCAACAUAUUAUGAUUCUUCUAUUAACCAUUUUCCUCCGAAACAUGUUUUGUAUAGCCUCUUGAAUUAACUUCCUCCAGAACUGCUUUCCUGAAAACUGGUCAUUCACCGAAAAUUACUUUUCUUAAUACUGGUGUUUCUCUCCUGAAAAACUUCCCUCUUUUUUCCUUUUUUCAAAAACUUGUCUUGACCUUCAUGUUCUUCAUAUGGGUAUCCAACUUCAAGAAAAUUUUUGACAUGACAGAGAAUUUUCUGCCCCUGUUUGAUAAUCCUCCAGUAGCAUAUUCUUUCCGCCGUCAAUAACGUUUCCAUGUUCCUAUUUCAAAUCAAGGAAAAUUCCAUCAGUUUAAAGUGCGGUGGUUGGUUGUGGUACUCCUGCUGGGAUGACUUUCCUUUUCUCCUUUCCAUGCCCCGUGUUGUCCGACAAUCUUUGAAACUUGGCUGAUAAUUUUCGCCCUUUUUGAUUACUACCUCUCAAUUAUUACUUCUACUCUUCUGUCAAACCCCAUAUGUUUUCUAUGACAACUGACUCUUCUUGAAGAUCUUGCAUGUUUACUGAUUAACCACUUUCUCCGUCAUCUGCGCCACCAAAAUACUCUUUUCCCCAUUCAUAUCCAAUAUCUUCUGUUGGUUGCACCGCUCAUGAACUGGCAUUUUCCUGACCUUUAAGUCUUACAUCAAUUCCCAAAUUAUGUCUAUUGCCCCCAUAGUAUGUUGUUACUUCUGAAUCACAACCCCUAGUCCCUUGACCCUGAAGUCUAUUUCUCAUUCGCUUGACCCUUGUCACAUAAAAUAUCUAUUCUUCGUUCAAACCCAAUACCCUCCUUCUGUUGCAUUACUGCUGAACCGACAUCUACCAAACUUUGUGUUUCGCCAGGAUCCCAAAGUAUGUUGAUUAUCAUCAGCUCAGUGCUCUUGUUGUUUUCCUAACUUGUGACCCC